GAUGAACGCUAGCGGGAGGCUUAACACAUGCAAGUCGAGGGGCAGCACGAGAUAGCAAUAUUUUGGUGGCGACCGGCGCACGGGUGAGUAACGCGUAUGUAACCUACCCUGUACAGGGGGAUAGCCCGGAGAAAUCCGGAUUAAUACCCCAUAAAGAUAUUUAGAGGCAUCUUUGAAUAUUUAAAGUUCAGACGGUACGGGAUGGGCAUGCGUGACAUUAGCUAGUUGGUAAGGUAACGGCUUACCAAGGCUGCGAUGUCUAGGGGUCCUGAGAGGGUGAUCCCCCACACUGGUACUGAGACACGGACCAGACUCCUACGGGAGGCAG
rnacentral:rRNA from 1 species